rnacentral:rRNA from 1 species
UGUCUUUUUGAAAAUAAUAUAAAGUCUAAUCUGCCCACUGAUUUUAUAUUAAAGGGCUGCAGUAUUUUGACUGUACAAAGGUAGCAUAAUCAUUAGUCAUUUAAUUGAUGACUUGUAUGAAAGAUUGGAUGAAAUAUAAACUGUCUCUUAAUUAUUAAUAUAAAACUUAAUUUUUUAAUUAAAAAGUUAAAAUAAUUUAAAAAGACGAGAAGACCCUAUAGAGUUUCAUAUUUAAAUUAAUUAAGAUUAUUUAAAAUUUAAAAUUAAAAUUAACUUAUUUAUUAUAUUGGGGUGAUAGAAAAAUAUAUAUAACUUUUUUUAUAUAAAAACAUUUAUAAGUGAUUAAAUGAUCCAAUAAUAUUGAUUAUAAGAAAAAAUUACCUUAGGGAUAACAGCGUAAUUUUUUUUUUUAGUUCAUAUAAAAAAAAGAGUUUGCGACCUCGAUGUUGGAUUAAGAUAAAAUUUAAAUGUAGAAG